GCGGACGGGUGAGUAAUGCCUAGGAAAUUGCCCUGAUGUGGGGGAUAACCAUUGGAAACGAUGGCUAAUACCGCAUGAUGCCUACGGGCCAAAGAGGGGGACCUUCGGGCCUCUCGCGUCAGGAUAUGCCUAGGUGGGAUUAGCUAGUUGGUGAGGUAAGGGCUCACCAAGGCGACGAUCCCUAGCUGGUCUGAGAGGAUGAUCAGCCACACUGGAACUGAGACACGGUCCAGACUCCUACGGGAGGCAGCAGUGGGGAAUAUUGCACAAUGGGCGCAAGCCUGAUGCAGCCAUGCCGCGUGUGUGAAGAAGGCCUUCGGGUUGUAAAGCACUUUCAGUCGUGAGGAAGGUAGUGUAGUUAAUAGCUGCAUUAUUUGACGUUAGCGACAGAAGAAGCACCGGCUAACUCCGUGCCAGCAGCCGCGGUAAUACGGAGGGUGCGAGCGUUAAUCGGAAUUACUGGGCGUAAAGCGCAUGCAGGUGGUUUGUUAAGUCAGAUG
rnacentral:rRNA from 1 species